CGCCGUUCUCUAUCAAAUGAGCGAGAGGCUCUGCUACUCUCCCUCUUCCUCUCUCUCUCUCUCUCUCCAGGCUGGUCAUUAGAGAGACGGUCCUCGUUCAGUCGCUCUGCACUCUCUCUUCAGUUUCAGAGAAUUUCUCUCUCACUUGUUAUCAUGAAAGCUGAACAAGAAAAGGCCGCCUGAAAAGAAGCAAAAGAUAGAAAAGAUGUCUCACACCGUAUUUCAAACCGCCCAGAUUAUGCUUCUGAACUCUCAGAUUACCAACAAAACCCUCUCAAAUUCGCCAUCUCCUCAUUCCCACCCUUCUCUCUUUGUUCCAUGCCGAACCCCAUCUCCCUCUGGCUCCUUUGGAAAACCACGGAUGGCGGUUUUGGAGAUUAAAUCUUCUGCUUUGGUGGAGUCGGACCCCGGAGCUCACCUUGAGCGCUGCUUCAAAAUCUCACCGGAUUCCGAUGUGGGCUCCUCUUCUUCCUCGACUUCAGCGUCUUCUUCUUCUAUGGUUGCACCUGUUAUGAAAGGUCAAUAUGGUGCUUUCGGAGCUGUGACUCUCGAGAAGUCGAAGCUGGAUUUGUCCUCGAAGCAAACGAAAUCUAGCCCUGAGACUGCAAUUGGAGGAGGGGGUGGAGACAUUGGCAAGAAAAUUAAUAAUGGUGGCGGUGAUGGUGGUGAUGAUGGUGGUGAUGAUGAUGAUUACAUUGGUGACUUUGAUGAUGGAGAUGAAGGAGAUGAGGGUGGAUUGUUUAGGAUGCGGCUUGUCUUUGAAGAGCUUUUUGAUCGAAAAUUUGUAGAUGCAGUUUUGCAUGAGUGGCAUAAAACGAUGAUGGAUUUGCCUGCUGGACUCCGUCAAGCAUAUGAAAUGGGUUUGGUGAGUUCCGCUCAAAUGGUGAGGUUCCUCACAAUCAAUGCAAGGCCAACUACUGCUAGAUUUAUUUCUCGAGCUCUUCCAGGAGGAGUUUCUAGGGAAUUCAUUGGGAGGAUGAUUGCAGAUCCAGCCUUCUUGUAUAAGCUUCUUUUAGAGCAAGCUACUACAAUUGGUUGUUCUGUUUGGUGGGAGCUGAAGAAUCGAAAAGAAAGGAUAAAGCAGGAAUGGGAUCUGGCACUUCUUAAUGUGCUAACAGUAUCAGCAUGCAAUGCUAUUGUUGUUUGGUCUCUUGCUCCUUGCCGUUCGUAUGGGAAUACUUUUCGGUUUGACUUGCAAAAUACACUGCAGAAGCUUCCAAACAACAUUUUUGAGAAAAGCUAUCCCCUCCGAGAAUUUGACUUGCAAAAGAGAAUUCAUUCUUUCUUCUACAAGGCUGCAGAGUUAUGUAUGCUUGGUUUAACUGCUGGAGCAGCCCAGGGUGCUUUGUCAAAACUUUUUGCUAGUAAGAAGGAAGGAAGGUUAUCUGUGACAAUUCCAACUGUGAGUACCAAUGCUCUUGGUUAUGGGGCUUUCUUGGGACUUUAUGCAAACUUACGGUACCAGCUAUUAUGUGGAAUUGACAGAGCAACAAUAAACUAUUUUGAUGUUAUUGGAGUAGCACUGUUCUUUAGCACAACAUUGAGGAUUCUGAAUGUUCAAAUUGGAGAGACAUCAAAGUUGGCUUGGCUUGGAGUAGAGGCAGAUCCACUGGUUCAGUCAGACAACCUGUUGAAGGCAUACAACAGACCAUCUGAGGCUGUUGCAAAUCCUUCUUCAAAGUGGUUCAUUUCAAAGAAUGCUGUUAUUUCUGGGCUAGGACUCCUAGGCAUAAAGCAGGGGAAGGGUGAUUUUGUUGCUGAAGGGGACGCUUCUCCACCACCCAAGAGAAAGAGAAUUGUCAGGAAGAAAGUCAAUGCAAGUUCAGCUUAGUAAACUCUCUUCAUGACAUCAAAGACCAAUUUUGUACCCCGAGGAACAUCCAAUGAACAGGAAGUACUGCAGUUGAUGGAAGUAAAAGCAACACACCAGUUGUGUGGAUGGUGAUUUUUUUGCUGCCAAAGCAGAAGAUGCUUGAAUUGCGUGCUUUUGACAAUUGUAAGGAGAGGCAUAUAGAGAGGGUUCUGCUUAGUGCAGUGUGACAGUUUGCCAGGAGUAAAUUACUUUUCCCUCUUUGCCUUAAUAUUUGCAGAAUUAUUGGCUCCUAUGUGCUUAUUGGACAAGAUAUCUAGCUGCUGUAAGACUUCCAACAGAAAAAAAUAAAAUAAAAUAGAAAUCUUAUCCAAUGGGCAUCUUUUGUUUGUUUUUUUGGGUAGUGAUUUUCUUGCUAUGGACUUGUUCUUUUUCCAGCAGUUUCUUAUCUGAUUUUGGUUGAGAGGUGUACUAUGUGUCUGUUUAAUCUGUCAUGUACUCGUGUGGUUCCAUUCA